rnacentral:misc_RNA from 1 species
GGAGGUUUUGACUUUGACAGUUUGUCAAACAUGGCGACCGAAUGCUCCUCCAGUUUGUGAUUAUCCAGUGCGAAAAGUUUCUGCAGUGACAUUCCAUGUAGCUAGGAUGUUUUGUAUUGAAUUUUAACAUUCGAAUAGCAUUCGACAGUUGAUGAAACAACGCAAUACAGACCCUCAAAAAAACUAGAACAAUGAAUAAAUUGCGCUAAAAAGCAGCUGGCAGGCAUCCUGAGAUGCAAAUUCAAAAUGUCAGUCGGAUAGUUUGGCCAGAAGCUUGAAAUUUGCCAAUGACAAUGCCAAGUUUGCGGAAAAGAGUUGUCGGCUUUAUGCGUCAACUCUCUAUCAGCAAUCUUACUGCCGCUGUUGAGAGUAUCGGGCAAGGAGAACAUGGCCUCCAAACGCCAAGGUCACCGCAAGUUGACAUUCCAGGAGGGUGCUUUGUGACAAGAUAUCUAAAUGGACAGGAGCAAAAGUCGGAAGGUCCAGUCAUUCUGCAUGGACGAAAUCCUGAGGAGUUGCCAUGCAAACCUUUGGGAAUUGUUUCUGACGAGGAGGAGGAUGUAAUUGCAGCUCUGACUGGACCAGAUCGUGGUUUAACAACUGUGAAUUUAAAACAGAGGCAUUUGAGUAUAAGCGAUCCUGAUGUGGAUUACAUAGAUAUAUUGGAUCAGAGUGAUCAAAAUGCAACUGUCAACACCUCGAUGGAUUGUAUAUUUUCCGUGGCUCACGAUCGAUGGUUAGUGAUACCCUCGACCGACACACCAUUGUGUCCGAUCGACAACAGCUCGGUGAAAAUUCGGGCAGCUGGGAAGCUGUACGAGCCGGAAGCUAAAUAUUCCCGAGAGAGCCUGCUCGACGAUGACGAGGAGGAUGCAAAUCAUUACAAAACUCGUAGCGAUUCGAGCAAUCGAAACAUCAUAAGAUUUUUGGAGACUGAAGCACGAGACGAUUUUUUAUCGAAUAAUUUGAUGACUCAAACGACCACCGGAAACGUAAGAUUCGCCGAGGACGUUGGAACGAACGUUCAUUUCGAAAUCAUCGAAAAACAACUCGUCAACGAAAGUUCUAGCGAUAGUCUGAAUGACAAUUCGAACAAGGAAAUUAUUCAGCUCGUUAUGAGAACAGCUUCUGACGAUACUCUCGACAUUCUGGACGAGGCUCAUUCCGAAAACGAUAUUAUUCCGCCUCCGUCCGACUUUGCGACUGAAAUGAUUCCCCUCAGGAAAUCUAAGAGUGCACCGGCACCUUUUAAAAAGGCUCACAAAGGAACACUAACAGGCUCGGAGAUCGCCGGUGUUGAAAACUGGUUCAGUCCUAACGAAAUGGCCUAUGGAAUUGCAACGACGCUUUACGAGAAAAAUCCAACGAAUAAUGUUAAUAAUGGUGAACCUAUUGCUGAUUGUUUUGGUGUAGCAGCCAGGCCUAAUGCCGCAGUUCUUGCACUCGCUGACGGAGUUAAUUGGGGUCCAAAAGCAAGUAUUGCGGCUCGUUCUGCCGUCCACGGAAGCAUGGAUUACCUGAACAAAGCUCUCUUUUCAUCGUCUAUCAGCGGAGACGUGACAACAACUAGGGACGUUUUUGUCGCUCUUCUUCGAUCAUUUCACGCCGCUCAUUCCCUCAUCCUUCAAGAACAGGGAAUGCUAACUACUCUGACCGUUUGCGCGGUUCUGCCACUCGCAAAUCCAACGUCCGGUACCAAUUCGAAAACAAAAAGAUACGUCGCUUGCACUUGUAACGUUGGUGACAGCCUUGCUUACGUCUAUUCAAGAAAAACUGGCGUUCGAGAAAUAACGCGAGGUUCUCAUGACAUUCACUGCAUGCGUGAUAUGAGAGACGCUCUAGGAGCUCUCGGUCCGGUGGACGGUUGCAAUCCGGAAUUGAAUAAUUUGACCCUGGCAAUGACGGAAGUGGAACCGGGUGACGUGGUUUUUCUGACAAGCGAUGGUAUAUCGGACAACUUUGAUCCGGUUGUCGGAAAAUUUGCUAUUUUACCAAUCGGUGGUUCGGCAUCGAGCGGUCAAAGAUCCGGAAGAUCGGAGAGUCAUAGCAGAGGUGCUAAACACACUCGCAAGCCGAGUGAGAGCUUGAGGAGAACGAAUUCGAGCGGUAGCGGGGACCACAGCGAACUACCGAUCGUCGAAGCUUAUCAGAGACACGAAUUGACUCUUCUGCGAAUGGAGGAUCUGUUAAGAAGAGGCGUUUCCGGAGAUGGGCCACCAUGCAAAAGUGCCAAAAGACUGUGUGAACUACUCUUGGAUUUUGCUGUUCGAAUAACUGCCGCAAAGCGUCGUAUUCUUGAAGACGCGGAUCUCUAUUACGCUCAGCACAAAGACGGUCAAUUGGUACAGCUUUCGAAACUCGAGCAACGCUCGCGAAGGAAAAAGAUGCUGGACAAAAUGUCAAUGGUACCGGGAAAAUUGGACCAUGCGACGAUCGUAGCAUACGUAGUCGGACCUCAUGGAGCAACGGAGAGUGAUCUCUAGUCCGUUCACAAUUAAAAGAUACAAAGUUUAUCGAUAUUGUUCUUGGGAUAAAAACGCCCGGCCCCAUGAUUUAAUCUGGCAGAAACUGUAUAAAACUUCACUUUUUGUACCACUUUGAUCUCUCCCACAUGAGAAUUGUAUUGUUUUAUUGUCUAUAUUCACAUUUUUAUCGAUCCUCUUAUUUUGUAUUUUUCUUAUUUUUUAAUAAACUUUAUUAUUACGUUCAUGUAUUAA